rnacentral:misc_RNA from 1 species
GGGAUUGCAGUGUAAAUCCCGCAGCCCGAUUCCGAUGUUUCGGGAGCGGUGCGAGGAAUUGAAACGAAAAGCCCGACCUUAC